GUGUGGGGAGUGCGGAGAUCCUGUGCGGAUGCUGCCGGAGAGCCGCUGGCUAUGCCCCGGGACUGCGUUCCUGCCGGGGCUACAACCCCCGCUGCAGCAGGGGCUGCGGCGCCGAGCUCCGUCUCCGCGACAGCCUCGGCGCCCCGGGCUACGGACCCGCUGAAGCGCUUUGUGUUAUUCUUGGAAAAUUUCGCACCACUUGUGAAUUCCUUGAACCUGGGCAUUGCAAACCCACUUCUGUUGGGCCCAUCUCCUUUACACUUUGCUCAGAUUAAGACUCAGUUGGCGCUUCAGCAGCUGAAUGCCGUUGCCUCACAUAGUUCAACACCACCUUAUACUUUAUUAAAUCAGGCUUUCUUGAAAAUAGCCAUGUCGAGACCCAGGUUUAAUCCUCGAGGAAACUUUCCACUUCAGAGGCCACGAGCACCUAACCCUUCUGGGAUGAGGCCUCCAGGACCAUUUAUGAGGCCUGGAUCUAUGGGUCUUCCAAGAUUUUACCCAGCAGGGAGAGCCCGUGGAAUUCCACACAGAUUUGCUGGCCAUGAAUCCUAUCAGAACAUGGGACCACAGAGAAUGAAUGUUCAGGUAACGCAACACCGAACUGACCCAAGAUUGACCAAAGAAAAACUGGAUUUUCAUGAAGCACAGCAAAAGAAGGGGAAGCCUCAUGGUAGCCGGUGGGAUGAUGAACCUCAUAUAUCUGCAUCAGUGGGAGUGAAACAGAGUUCUGUACCACAGGUUACAGAGCAGAGUCCUAAAGUACAGAGUCGCUAUACAAAAGAGAGUGCCUCAAGUAUCUUAGCAAGUUUUGGAUUAUCUAAUGAAGACCUAGAAGAACUCAGUCGCUAUCCUGAUGAACAGCUAACUCCUGAAAAUAUGCCAUUAAUUUUGAGGGAUAUAAGAAUGCGAAAAAUGGGGCGCCGGUUACCUAAUUUACCUUCUCAGAGCAGAAAUAAAGAAACACUUGGUAGUGAGGCAGUUUCAAGUAAUGUGAUUGAUUAUGGGCAUGCAAGCAAAUAUGGCUACACAGAAGAUCCACUGGAAGUACGUAUUUAUGAUCCUGAAAUUCCAACUGAUGAGGUCAAGAAUGAAUUUCGGUCACAACCAAGCAUUUCUGCAUCUGUUCCCACUCCAAAUGUGAUAUGUAAUUCUAUGUUUCCUAUUGAAGAUGUGUUUCGACAGAUGGACUUCCCCAGUGAAUCCUCCAGUAAUCAGUCCUUUUUCCCAGUUGAGAGUGGAACCAAGAUGUCAGGCUUACACAUUUCAGGAGGACAGUCAGUCCUUGAACCUGUAAAACCUGUCAGCCAAUCCAUUAGCCAGACGGUUAACCAGACAAUGAAUCAGUCUCUGAUUCCUCCAUCUAUGAACCAGCAACCUUUUUCAUCAGAAUUAAUUUCAGCUGUAAGCCAACAAGAGCGGAUCCCACAUGAACCUGUCAUAAAUUCAUCUAAUGUCCAUGGAUCAGGAGGAGGUAAAAAGAGUUACCAGUCAGAGGCUGACAUUCCCAUUCAGUCUCCCUUUGGGAUUGUGAAAGCAUCAUGGCUACCAAAGUUUUCACAUGCUGAUGCCCAGAAGAUGAAGAGACUUCCAACUCCUUCUAUGAUGAAUGAUUAUUAUGCAGCGUCUCCAAGAAUAUUUCCACAUUUGUGUUCUCUGUGUAACGUAGAAUGUAGUCAUUUGAAGGAUUGGAUUCAGCAUCAAAACACAUCUACUCAUAUUGAGAGCUGCCGACAGUUACGUCAACAUAUUAUUUAUUUUCAAAAUAGGUAUCCUGAUUGGAAUCCUGAGAUCCUCCCAUCAAGAAGAAAUGAAGGCAAUAGAAAAGAAAAUGAAACUCCAAGAAGACGAUCUCAUUCCCCCAGUCCUAGACGUUGUAGGAGAUCAAGUUCAAGUCACAGAUUCCGUCGAUCUCGAAGCCCAAUACGAUCUAUGUAUAGACCAAGAAGUCGAAGUCCAAGAAUUUGCCAUCGUUUCAUCUCUAGAUACAGAUCCAGAUCCCGUUCACCAUAUCGAAUGAGAAAUCCAUUUAGAGGUAGUCCAAAAUGCUAUCGAUCAGUUAGCCCUGAACGGACAGCGAGGAGAUCAGUGAGAUCAUUAGAUAGAAAAAAAGCAUUAGAAGAUGAACUACAACGAUCUGGGCAUGGGUCAGAAUCCAUCAAACUGAAGCAUCUUGAAGCAGUUGAUAAAGGACACUCACCAGCACAAAAACUUAAAACUGGCAGUGGAUCAAAGCCAUCAGUUAAAUCUAUAAGCUCUACAAAGAGUGAUUCAAAUAUAGGAGGACAUUGUACUCGUUACAAAUCAAAGAAUCUUGAAGAUGACACCUCACCAGAAAAUAAACAGGUGUCUGAUAAAACUGUUUGUCUGCAACGUAAGCUUCGGAAGGAUCAGUCAUCGCCUUAUGGUUCUGUUCUUCUUAUAUCUGAAUUACCAGAGGAUGGCUGUACUGAGGAAGAGAUUAGAAAAAUAUUUCAGCCAUUUGGGAAAGUUAAUGAUGUCCUGAUUGUUCCAUAUAGAAAGGAGGCAUACUUAGAAAUGGAAUUUAAAGAGGCAAUUACUGCAGUCAUGAAGUACAUUGAAACAACCCCUCUUCUGAUAAAGGGGAAAAGUGUGAAAGUAUGUGUUCCAGGAAAGAAGAAAUCACAGAACAAAGAGGUGAAGAAAAAGAUGUCAGACUCAAAGAAAAUAUCUACAUCUACUUUAAAAAAAGAUACAGAUGCUUCCAAAGCUGUUGAAACUGUGACUUUGGCUUCUGCCACCAAAACUGGACAAGCCAAGACAUCUGCAGCCAAAGUGAAUAAAUCUUCAGGGAAAUCAACGGGUUCUGUAAAAUCUGUGGUGACAGUAGCUGCUAAAGGAAAUAAAGCUUCAAUCAAAACAGCAAAAUCUGGUGGAAAGAAAUCUUUAGAAGUCAAGAAGUCUGGAAUUGUCAAAAACAAAGAUGUCAGUAAACCUGUGAUUGUAACAGAAAACUCUGAAAUAAAGACAAAUAUGGAAGUCAAAGCCACUGAAAAUGGUGCUAAAGAAACUAUUUCAGAAGCUGCUUCGGAGGCCACAGAAAAUGAACCAGUUAACAAGGAAACAGAAGAAAUGUGUGUGGUACUUAUUUCUGACUUGCCCAAUAAAGGAUAUUCUAUUGAAGAAGUUCACAGCCUAGUAAAACCAUUUGGUAGUUUAAAGGAUAUUUUGGUUUUAUCAUCUCAUAAAAAGGCAUUUAUAGAAAUAAAUAGAAAAUCUGCAGAUUCUAUGGUAAAAUUUUAUACCUGCUUCCCAAUAUCAAUGGAUGGAAAUCAACUCUCAAUAAGUAUGGCUCCUGAAAACAUGAAUUUAAAAGACGAGGAAGCUAUAUUUACAACCCUGAUUAGAGAAAAUGACCCAGAGGCAAAUGUAGAUACAAUUUAUAAUAGAUUUGUUCAUCUCGAUAACUUACCAGAAGAUGGACUUCAGUGUGUACUUUGUAUUGGACUUCAGUUUGGAAGAGUGGACCACCACAUGUACAUGAGUAAUAAAAACAAGGCAAUUCUUCAGUUAGAUAGUCCUGAAUCUGCUCAGUCAAUGUACAGUUUUCUGAAACAAAAUCCGCAGAACAUAGGUGACCAUGUAUUGACUUGCACAUUAUCUCCAAAGAUGGACUCAUCAGAGGCUGAAGCUGAGAAAGACCCAGAACUAGGAAAUAAAAGCCCUGACUUGAAAAACAGUCCAGUUGAUGAAAGUGAGGUGCAAACAGCAACUGAUAGUCCCUCUGUUAAACCUAGUGAGGUUGAAGAAGAAUCUAUUCCCAACAUUCGAACAGAAACUUUUGUACAGCAGGAAGAGCUUUGUGAGGAAGAACCUGAAAAAGCACUAUGUGACUCUUACUUUGCUAUUGAAAUGUUGGAAGUUGAAACGCAAGGGGAGGAGGUCAAAGUGGAAAUUCCUCUUGUGGCAUCCACUCCAGCCAGUAUUGACUUAUUCACUGAAAAUGUAGAGGAGUCUGUUUUAAAUCAGCAGGUAUAUACCAGUGACCUUGAGAAGGAAGAAGCAGAAAUUAUUAACACUGAAACAGAAUUAUCAACGUCUGAUAGCGCAUUUAUCGAAGAAAGGAACAUCAAAGGAAUUCUAGAAGACUCUCCAUCUGAAGCAGAAGAUUUCCUUUCUGGGAUUACACAGUCUGUGAUAGAAGCUGUAACUGAAGUAGACAAAUAUGAAACUGUUUCAGAAUUAGUACCAUCUACUUGUGUUGUGGCCUUAGUACCAGGAAUUUCCACUGGGGAAGAGCAGGCAGUGAGCACAGUGGGAAUUUCUGAAAAAAGUAACAUGGAUGAAAAGGAGGAGAAUGAAUUAAAUACCAGGGAAACCAGAAUGGAUCUACAAUUAGGAACAGAAAAGGCUGAAAAGAAUGAUGAUAGGAUGGUUGCAGAGAAGUUGGAGAAGAUUUUGGCUGCAAUGAAAGAAAAGCCUGUAGAAAACUCAGUGACCAAGGCAUGCCCAAAUAAAGGAGUGGGUCAGGCCAAUAAGCCUGAUGAGACUAGUAAAAUUAGUGUGCUGGCUGCAUCAAAUGCAUCUAGCAAUAAAUCAAGCAUCAAGGCUGGUAUGGCCUCUUCUACAAAGGCAAAAGCGACAGCUUCAAAAUCUGAAAACCAGAAAAGUUUUCUAAAAUCUGUACUCAGAGAUGAAAUAAAUGCUGAAAAGAAACUUUCAGCCAAGGAACUGGGUCUACUUAAACCUACAAGUGCCAGGUCAGGCUUAUCUGAAAACAGCAGUAAAUUGAAAUCCCCUCAGAGCGGUGUUACCAGAGGAGGCAGUGGAAGGAUCUCAGCCCCUCAAGGCAAGGAUUCUAAACUGGAUUACAGGGAUAUUACAAAACAGUCUCAGGAAACAGAGGCUAAACCUUCCGUGAUGAGACGAGAUGACAGCAACAAUAAGACUUUGACUGGACAAAACACUAAGAAUCCUAAAAGCACCACUGGUAGAAGUUCCAAAUCCAAAGAGGAGCAUUUAUUUCCAUUUAAUUUGGAUGAAUUUGUUACUGUGGAUGAGGUUAUAGAGGAGGUGAAUCCUUUUCAAGUCAAGCAGAAUCCACUAAAGGGAAAAAGGAAAGAUGCCCUCAAAAAUACCCCUUCCUCUGAACUUAAUUUAAAGAAGAAGAAGGGGAAAAUCUCUGCUCCUCGUGUUAUGGAGGGAGAAUUAUCCUUUGUAACAUUGGAUGAGAUUGGGGAAGAGGAAGAUGCAGCUGCACAUCUAGCACAAGCUCUAGUCACUGUGGAUGAAGUAAUUGAUGAUGAAGAAAUAAAUAUGGAAGAGAUGGUAAAAAACUCAAAUUCACUUCUUACAUUAGAUGAGUUAAUUGAUCAAGAUGAUUGCAUUUCCCAUAGCGAACCUAAAGAUGUUACUGUACUGUCAGUGGCUGAAGAGCAAGAUCUUCUCAAACAGGAACGCUUGGUAACUGUGGAUGAAAUCGGAGAAGUAGAAGAACUACCUUUAAAUGAGGCAGCAGACAUAAAUUUUGCCACUUUAAAUGCUAAAGGAGAUGAGGGAAAUACUGGAAGGGAUUCCAUUGGGUUCAUUUCUUCUCAGAUGCCUGAAGACCCUUCUACUUUAGUUACUGUAGAUGAAAUUCAGGAUGACAGUAGUGAUUUGCAUUUAGUGACCUUAGAUGAAGUAACUGAAGAGGAUGAAGACUCAUUGGCAGAUUUUAACAACCUUAAGGAAGAGCUUAAUUUUGUUACUGUUGAUGAAGUUGGAGAGGAGGAAGAUGGAGACAAUGAUUUAAAAGUUGAAUUAGCACAAAACAAAAAUGACCAUCCUGUCGAUAAAAGAGGGGAUAGAAAAAAAAGAGCUGUGGACACAAAGAAGACCAAACUUGAAGCUUUGUCCCACGUGGGUCCAGUAAAUGAGAAUGUUAUGGAAGAAGAUCUGAAAACCAUGAUUGAAAGACACUUAGCAGACUUUCUCUUUAAAGCUAAAGCGCCAACGAAGAGAGUGAGAAUUGGGAAAACACCACCGUCAGAAAAAGCUGUUAUGGCAGAAGCAGCGAAAGGUGAAGAAGGCUUCCAAAUUAGUGAAGUGGAUGAAGAACCUGGAUUAAAGGAUUCAGAACCAGAGCGAAAACGCAAGAAGAUUGAGGACUCUUCUUCGGGGAAAUCAGUGGCACCUGAUGUCCCUGAAGAUUUAGACUUUCUUGUACCGAAGGCUGGAUUCUUCUGUCCAAUUUGUUCCCUCUUCUACUCAGGUGAAAAAGCAAUGACAAAUCACUGCAAGAGUACACGACAUAAGCAAAAUACAGAGAAUGUAAGCUCCAUGAGGUAAAGGGCCUUACCUACUUGUUGACCACUGAUUCCCCAAGCAUCAAGCAUAAUGCCUAGUAUAUCAUAAAUAUCAGAUGAUUCAUGAAUGGAAGGAAGGAAUGUUAAUAAGUUCAUGGCCAAGCAAAGAAAGGAAAAGGAGCAGAAUGAGGCUGAAGAAAGAAGCUCUAGGUGAUUGGGGGAAUGGGGAAAGAAUUCAUUAGAAAUUUGUUUAGGGUCCAGUUGAUUUGUGUAUUUUUGUUAUCACUUAAUUUGUAAUUUUUGUUUCAGAAGCAAAUAUUCAUGUUGUACAAAUUUCUGAUUGCCCUUGAUGUAGAGAGACUGAUGGGGAAAGUAUGAUGGGUUUGAUUUUUAUAUCAAAUCAUCAGGCAUGGAGAAAUAUCUUUUAGAAGUGUUAUAAUAAAUGUUCCUACUGUAUAUUUAAAAUACCA